GCCGUGAUCGUAUAGUGUGUUAGUAGACUGUGUUAUGUCCGCAGUAACCCAGGUUCGAUUCCUGGUCACGGCA
rnacentral:tRNA from 1 species